CCCCGGUUGCUCUCUCUCUUUCGCCGCGGCCUCCAUGCAUCCGGAGAGGGAGGGCAACGACGGCGGCUUUCCCAUGUCCCCACGAGCUGGUGCUGGGCGGGGUGUAGGGGUGAGCUGGUGAUGGGCGGAUCGGAGGUGCAGGGGGCCGGCGAGGUUGGUGGAGGGCAAAUCCUGUGCACGUGGAAGGCAGGGUAAUUCGAUCGAACAAAUAGGAACUGCUGCCAUUUUUAAGCCCGAGGGCAUGGUAGUGACCAACAAGAACUCCAGCAGACGAAGGCAGUGGUCACAGAACGACGAAGUCUUCUAAACUAUUGCCUACCACUACUAGUUGAGGAAUGUUUGGGGUGCUGCCGGAUCUGACGGCAGCGGUUGCGGGCGAGCAGCAGUGCAGAUCUCGGUGAGGAGGAGAGUUUGGAUCAGGCGGAUCCUAUCGACAGUGGCGGCCAUAGGUGCAGCGGAGGCCUCCGAGUCUGGGCGGAAAAGGAUAUCCUGAGGACAAUGACAGAGGACUCUUGGAAUCCUGUGAGGUGGAAGCAGAUCUUGAAAUAUGCACCUUUGGCGUGAUCGAAAAAAGUGGAAGCAGAUCUGUCAGCUCACGUUUGAUCAGCUAGUUCUAAUUAGGCCUUGUUUAGUUCCGAAAAAAUUUCGGAACACUUUUGUUUUUAUUUGGCAAAUAUUGUCUAAUUAUGA